ACAGAAGGACUCUAUUUCUGUUACAGGAAUGACAUUAAUCACCAAUGGUCCAACUAAUCAUUCAGAUUUUUGUAUCAGUAUUUUCUUGGUAUUGUUUCUGGUAACGUUAGUUGAAGAAGACUAUUAGUGAUAUGAUUUCAGCAAAUGAAUGCUUUAAGACUUCUGCAUGUUUCUGCUGUCCGUUUAUUUAUUCUUUAUGAAAAUCCUCGGAUCCAGAAAAUAUAUGUAUAAUCUUGUUAAUUUGGUAGAAAAUGUAUGCUGACUGGAUGGUUAUACAGAUUCCAUAUUUGCAAAUUACUUUGUAUUUCCAAAUUUGUUGGGGGAGGCCGGAAGCGAUUGUUCAUCGUGCAUCGUACUUUUUGACCCUCUGCCUGCACUGUCAUUGUGUUUGUUACAUGAUAUAGACACGUGCUCAGCGUGCAUAAGUCCGUUAAUAAAAAAAACAUUGAAUCAAACAAGUUAUUGAUCAAUAUUUUUUCCAUCAUUACAUUAUGACGCUAAUACCGUCUGUUACUGUUGCAAGGACGUAUUACGUCCGAAGUGUGUCCUCUAUGCUGAAAAAUCUCGAGACGGUGCAGGUCCCUGGACUGCAUUUAAAACGCAAUUAUCUUGUAACACGCAGAAAAUUUAAAUUGACGAAACUUGAAAGGAAAAAGAUCCAUUAUUAUAAAGAUAAACUGUGUGCUACGUGGUACAGGUGCUCCCACCGAAGGCCAAGCUCUGAUGAAUAAAAAAAAAUGAGAUAAGAAAUAGGUGCCCAAGGGUAGUAAAGUUGGUGGGGGUAUGUAAGGUCAAAUAGAUUAUAAGAUUUAGGGAGGAAAUCGUCAAUGGUGCUGAAUGUUUCAUUCAUAUGUAAUCUAUGAAUAAAUUCUGAUCGGCGGGCCGCAUAGUUGAAUAAUAGGAAGUGUCUUAUUACCAAGGUAAAUCUUAAUUAUAUUCACGACAGAAAACUCAUCAGGUUUCAAGAUAUUUUAAUUCGUUUAUAAAAGGUGUACUUGAAAGGUACGCUCUUUGGAUUUGUUCAUCAAAAAAUCAAAAAAAGUGAGUUUUAUUGAUUUCAUAGAGUACAUCUAAUCAACACUAUCGGGCAGCCGAAGUUAAUGAAGCUUGGUCUUUAGCUGAAUUCUGACGAAAUACAAACGUUUUGUUGUUGACGAUAAAAGUGCAGCUCUUAAAACUUUCAGUUAAUUAGCAUGCAAAGAGAACACCAGUUUAAAUAGCUGUUUAAGACGUCCGGAACGGCACGACUUGGUUCUGUGUUAUUUAUUGUUGUAAGAUUAAUUAUCAGAGGUCUCUAAAGCCCAUGUCAUCUUGAUCUUGAUGUAUUUUUAACUACGCGGAUUUCUGAAAUCUGUCACUAUUCAAGGCCUGUUAAAAUUAUAUGUACAUGUGUAUAGAAUUUAUUAAAAAGAUGAAAAGUAC
rnacentral:misc_RNA from 1 species